UUGACUGGACUGAGGUCAGUGCGGUGGAGUUGCAGGAGCUGCGCGUGCGGAGGAGCUAUGGAGCUGACCCCGGGAGCCAGGAGCAUGAGGACCUGGAGUCUGUGUCAGAUUUGUACCUCCGGGUCGGAUUCUCGUCCUUAUGAAAUAGUCAAACAGCCUCGCCAUGCACCAGAAGAAUAUAAACCAAAGCAGGGGGAGAUUGAUCUUGGUACUACCUACAAAUGGCAUCUUAAUUCUUGUAAAGUGCAGCGUGUGGCAAUAGCUCGGCCUUUGGAGAGACAAGUUAAAAAAGGGAAGUUGGAUACUGUCCCGACCUAUAAAGAUUUCAAGGCAUCUGCAUAGUGUACCCUGAGUCAAGUUUUGGUUGGCAGUGUCAAGAUGGCUGCACUGCUCCUCGCUGUGUUCAAGUUAGAAAGAGGCAUUGUGGUGUGACAAGUAAAGGCUCUGUGGCUUGGGAAUCAAAGCACCUGUGUUCAAGUUUCAAUGACACCGGUUUCUACUUGUGCCAUCCUAGGGGUAUGUGUUAGCAGCUCUGAAACUACAUGUAUAAUAAGGUCAAACCAAGAAAAUAUAUUGCAGAUAAUGAAAGCCAGGCUUCUCCCUGUCAGAGAAAGAAGUUGACAAACAAGAAAAAGUUCUCUGAGAGCAAGGACAAGAUGCCAUUCCCCCAGGAUGCCUGGAUCAGUCAGGGUCACAAGCCUGUCCAGAGCGAUUGUCUCCUUUUCACAGACUAAACAAGACAGGGCCGGUGGGAAGUCAGAAGAAACUAUGUAGCUUCCUAAACAUGAAAGAUGAGAGAGGCACAAGGAGCUAGAGACCAAGGCAGAUGCUGAAACUCAGGAGGCUGGUCAUUGAGGAUGCAGCGAAAGAGUGCAAGGGCACCUAAGACACUACAAAGACUAAGGCUGUGCUUCUCCAGUUGGGGGACCUGUGCCCUUACAGGCAAUCAGACGGGAAGUUACAGAAUAAUUACAGCAUAUCUUCUUGGAAUUAUCAAAUUUUCUCCAUUUCUACAAGAAAACCUCAUUUCAUUGUGCUUUUGUUUUACUGUGCUUCACAGAUGUCGCAUUUUUUACAAACUGAAGGUUUGUGUCAACCCUGCAUCAAGCAAGUUUAUUAGGACCAUUUUUCCAACAGCAUUUGCUCACUUCAUGUCAUUAUGUCCCGUUUUGGGAAUUCUCACAAUAUUUUACAAUUUUCAUUAUUCAUCUAUUUGUUGUGGUAAUCUGUGAUCACUGAACUUUGAUGUUACCAUUGCAACUCAAAGAAGGCUCAACAAUCGUUAGCAUUUUUUAGCAAUACAGUAUUUUUUAAAUUAAGGUACAUACAUUUGUUUUUUAGACAUAAUGCUAUUGCAUACGUAAGAGACUUCAAUAUACUGUAAACAUAACUCUUAUAUGCAUUGGGAAACUAAAAAAAGUUCAUGUGACUCGCUUUACUGUGAUAUUCAUUUUACUGCAGUGGCUCAGAACCAAAACUGCAAUAUCUCAGAGGUAUGCCUGAAAUUUAAACCUUUUCUUAUUCUUUUUAAAAAACAUUAAAACAAAUCGGGGCAUUUAAGAAGUAGGACACAAAGGUGACAACAUUUUUAAAGAUAACACGUAAGGUUUCAAAGAAAAAUUAUUUUAAAAACUGAAUUUAGAAAGCCACUCUUGAGUUUCACGUCGACCCGAGUUACAUGCUCACUCUGGCCUUAGGGGUGAACUUUUUGAACUUUGGUGGGAAAGAUAAGAAAGUCUAGGUUAAGGAUCUGGAAGAGUAAGAGAGGGGAGGAGGAAGGCAGAGAGACAGCGUGUGUAGGUGGGAGGGGGGGUAGACUGACAGACCAACAGAAGACACUCAGUAUCUUGCUAUCAAUUACCUCUCACAGUUCAGAAACUUUUCCACCAGAGUGAAACCUCCAGAUCCUCCUAAACACCUCUCCCAUUUUUGCUGAGUUCUUCUCCAAGAGGACAUGACAGACACAUCAAGGUACCUUAAAGUCAUUCUCUCUACUACCCCUUCAAAUCUUGGGGGAUUUAACUCCAUCACAGACCAGAACACUACCGAAUGUGAAAUGUAAAACCAGCUUUCUGAUGGUCAGUGAAAUGUCCCAAGUGGCAGAGUCAUCGGCAGUCAGUUCCUCCUCUCUCCCCACACCUUCUUUAAGCAGUUAAAUAUUUCCAUGUUACAAUCCACUACCUGCGGACAGACCCCUUCCACAGCAUCCACAAUAAUGCACCCAUCACAAAUGCAAACAGCCGUCGAUACUUCUGAGGAGAAAUCCACAUGUCCUGGAGAGUCUAUCAGAUUAAUCAGGUACUCCUCCUCACCUGAAAUGAAAUUGGAAGACACACAUUUUCAGUUGUGCAAGUAUACAGUACUCUUCCUCAGGCAACCCUGAGUAAGAGAGCUUCUAAGAAAUGACUGAAUAAAGCUAAAGAAGACAAAAGCUCAAUCAACAGCUACCAUUCCAAUUUAGGAAUUCCCAACGAUGGAACUAUCGAUUCCAAACAGCAUCAGU